AACCCAAAGGACUUGGCGGUGCCCCACACCCACAUAGAGGAGCCUGUUCUAGAACCGAUAACCCCCGUUAAACCUCACCACCCCUUGUCAACCCCGCNUAUAUACCACCGUCGCCAGCUUACCCUGUGAAGGACCAAUAGUAAGCCUAAUGAGCACAGCUCAAAACGUCAGGUCGAGGUGUAGCGAAUGGGGUGGGAAGAAAUGGGCUACAUUUUC
rnacentral:rRNA from 1 species